rnacentral:rRNA from 1 species
CAAUAGCGUAUAUUUAAGUUGUUGCAGUUAAAAAGCUCGUAGUUGGAUUUCGGGUGUGAACGACCGGUCCGUCUUUGAUGUGUACUGGUUGGUUGCGCCUUAUUGUCGAGGACGUGGUUCUAGCUUUCAUUAGCCGGGACACGGAGUCGGCAGCGUUACUUUGAGAAAAUUAGAGUGUUCAAAGCAGGCUAUCGCUCUGAAUACUACAGCAUGGAAUAACACGAUAGGACUCUGGCUUAUCUUGUUGGUCUGUGAGACCAGAGUAAUGAUUAAGAGGGACAGUCGGGGACAUUCGUAUUUCAUUGUCAGAGGUGAAAUUCUUGGAUUUAUGAAAGACAAACUACUGCGAAAGCAUUUGCCAAGGAUGUUUUCAUUAA